AUUCGAGUAACAGCCGGACACACUGAGCAGCUGUAGUUGUGUCGAAAGUAAGAAUAGUGGUCGACGGGUCCGUUUCUGUGACUGCUCCGCGCACAAAGAUCACACAAGUACGUGAUUCAUCAACGGCCCACGACGUCGUCUGCUGCGGUGCGUCUUGCAGGAACAAGUAUGAGGACUCCACAAAAACAUCUGUUGCGGCCGCAUUGAUGUUAAACCAUCUCUUGUUUCUUUGGUAGAAACAUCUGUUCAUCCUCUGAUUUAAUCAUCAUCCGAGUCUUCCUCCUCUCGUUGGAGGCGGGAAGAUGACGACUUCAGUGGAACUGAAUCAAAUCCAUCUGACGUCCUCUGAAAACACAUAUUUAAUAACACGAAGCAUCAACAGCAGCCUUAGUAAAUAGCAGCUGAUGCUGAUGAGCAGUACAGCAGCGACUAUUCCGGUGGUAACACCAAACUUAAGCCAGAAAUCCAGACUGACACAAGCGCUGACUGUUUGUGCUGGUAGGGCCACUCCUCCAUAACACUGCAACGGCUGCUGCCACACGUAAGUGGUUUUCUGAAACAAAAUGUCCCCAUAAACAUAUAUAUAUAUAUAUAUAUAUAUUCCAAUGCUUCAGUGUAUCUGUGCCACAAACUAGCUGUUUUCAGACAUGAAUUCUGGAAAAUGUAUGGAAAAUUGGGUCCUUUCCAUUUGCAUAUGAAGAACAUAGCGGGAGAAUGUCCCGAGUCACAAUCGCAGGAAAAUUUCCCAAACAUUCAGGCACCUGGGUAAAGCCUCCGCUCGCUUGCCAUGAAUCUUCUGGAGCCUUCCCUGCUGUAUUCCCACAUGGGCACUACAAACAUUUUCCAGAUAUUUCACUAGGGGGCUGGCAGGAAAAGUGCCAGAAAAUGUCUGGAGCCCAAUUUGAGGACAUUUUGCGUUCUCACAUACAGCCUCUUCAGAAAAGUUUGAAUCAUGUCUGAAAGCAGCAACACCUAUACAGUAUCUUAAGUUAAAUACAAGAUGCUGCACUUUGUGGCUAAAUAAUCACAUGUACUGGAACAUUUCAAACCAUCUUGUACUCAAUCAUUCCAUAUAAAAUUUUCUGUAAUCUACGCAGACAUAAUUGGUAAUGUUUAGAAUCUUUACACACAGCAUGAAUUUGGUCAGUGAUGGAUUUGUGUUGUGGAGGAGGUCAGACAGAAGGUGUUUGUCAGUAUGCCCAUGCCAGUGCUCUCCUACCUGUAUUCCCUGGAUACAAGCGCUGACGAUUUCUCUGUAGUGGUCUUUGGUGCAGAGUGGACAUGCAUGCUGGCUCUGCCACAGUAAGUGGAAAACACAGCCAUCGCACGUCCCUUCUGAACAGUUACUUCGGAGGGGAACAAGGUAAGAGAGAUGUUGACGAGCUUUUCAUGGCAAAAAAAAUUAUCUCCAAGGAGCCACUUUGUUCAGCCUCAGAGAGCUCAAUGUGUGUCAGUGGCUGUUGAAGUACAGUUGGUCAAAUGAAAUGUCUGCAAGAAAAUCUGAGCUCAGUUAUGGUGUAAGAUACCUUGGCAGUGUGAUGUGGUCUUUGGCAGUCAACGCCGGAUCGCAUCUCAGCCUGAUGGUGGCUGACCUGCCUUGUUUACAAGUCUGAGUCGUCUCACUAGACCUAGACACAUCACAAACGUGACAAACAUGAAGGUCUAAACUUCCACCGUGAGACUUUUUUUAUUAUAAAUAAAAUGUAUUUUUAUUUUUUAUUAUAUUUCAACAAUUGAUGUUAUAAUUUAAUAUGAAAAAUAUGUAUUUUAAAGCAUCACAUGGGUGAUUGAAACACAAUAAAUUGUGAUCUUAUUUACUUGUAAUAGAAGAUGACGUCUGGCAGGCUGGAAGCAGACGGGAACAACCAUUCUGGGGAAGAGAUGCUGCUCAGCUCCGUGUCAGUGGUCGCACCUUCACAAUGACAACAUGCGACAAAAUGUUGUCAUCUGAUAAACGACAUGCACACUGUGCAUCAGUGACUCCCAACCGCAUGUUCUAGCAACCCAAACCUUCGGGUUUAUGCAAAAUUUCUUCUCAUUUCAUAUCGGCAGUCAUAAUCUUACAACCCCUUAGAAUCAGCUGGCGACACCUUGUAUCAAAUAAUGUAUAAUUCAGCCACAAUUAGAUAUUGCUCAAUAUUCCAGCAGGCUGAAUAAUCUAUGCUAAAUCUAGCAACAGUAAAACCAACCGAGGAUUUAAAGGAGGAGAACAAGUUUAAGUCUUCUCUAUUUCUCUAUUAAACGCUCAUAUUAAACAGUCAUAGUUUAAGUUUGGGAAUAACAUUCUUAGGUAAUAUUUACUGAACGUUUAAGACUUGUGAAAGUCCAGGUUUUUUGGAGCACACACUGAUGAAAAACAAAAAGUCAAAUGGGAAAUCAUGAUGCAACACACCAUCAGUGUGUGUGGACUUGACAGAGGGUGCUGCCGGUGUUUACUGCCCUUCAUUAAUAUUAGGACAUUUCAACACUCUUUUCAGCAAAUGACUUAAUAACAUAUCCUCUCAUUUAGGGCAACAGAUGGCUGCAGCAAUCAGUUCCUACCGAUGAGUGAGUCACCGAUGAGGAAGGGCUGGGAGGACACCGUGCUCUGACUCCUGAUUUCAGAGGGAACCACAGUGGACUGGCAUACGUAACCUUUGACCUCCCUCCCACUCCCCGUUGCACUGUCCGCACAGGUCGCUGGCGUGCGGCCCUGUGAGAGAAACACGCCAGGUCAAAAUAUAUGUCAAAAUGGAAUUUCACAUGCAAAAAAACCCAAACCAUCAGGAUCAUUGCCUUCUCACCUCUUCCCCACACAGACCCACAUUGAAGCGAUGGAAGUAUUUCAGGCCUUUGUUGGUGAAGCGAGGGCUGCUGUGGAAGCCGGUGACGUUGGCCAGGGGGGAGAAGUCGUAGUGCAGCAGCGCUCCCGCCCUCGUGUGCACAUCCAGCGUGCAGUCACUUAGACAGGCUGAGUAAGCCUGGAGGGUGAGGUCAAGAAGUCAACGGACAUAUUUACAUACACAUCACACUCUGUUUGCAGUGGGUGGAGUGAUGUGGGAAACCCAAAUAAAAGAGAAAAUAGAAAUGUUGAGGUCAUGUUUUUGCCAAGCCAUGAAAUGACAAUCUGAUUUUAUCUUUUCAUGUUUUCUUUAUUAAUUGAUCCCCCCGGUGAUAUUUUCGGGAUAUUAUCCCUCUUCCUGAUGAUUUUAAAGCCAUGUACGUUUUUUUAUUAAACCCAAUACAUGUUGUGAAUUAUACAAAAAAAAACUUGGAAAUCAGCCAUUGGAAAAAACCUGUAGUGUAUAAUUUGUAACUGUGUGUUGAAAGCCUCAAAUGCCCAGAAACAAGCCUGAAGACACAAACCCUCUCAUCCUUGGAUUCGUCUAUGCACCAAUAGAUGCAGCUUUGUAUUUACAGUUUGGAAGUGGACAGGAUUUUGUUCUCCUCACCUUGUUUCUCUUGGUGUUUGGACCACACUGAACACAAGCGGCCUCUCCGACAGGCUGCUCAGCCCUGAUGAAAGUGUUUGCCGGGCAUCUCUUACACACCCCUGUCCCGUUGACCAUGUAGUGCCCCCGCGGACAGGGAACACAGGCGGAGUUGGCCUUAUCGGAGCUCAGGGCACAGCGGCGACACUGUGAGGCUACACCACCGAUGACAUUGGUGAUGUGGAUGGCGUAGAUCUUUGCAAUGUCACCACUGUAUUUCCUCUCCUGGGGGGGAGAGAAACAUUAGGUUGUCAGUCACCAGCUGAGUCACUGUACACAAUGUCUUCUCUGCAUAAAGGAACAGUUUGGAAGGCUAUAUACAUAGCAUCAGUGAUGGAAAGUAAUAAAUAAAUUCAUUAAAGUUCUGAACUUACGCACAA